CCACAUGUCAACCAAAUAUUCAUACACAAGGGAGCUUUGGUCCGCCUUGAAGAACUUGUGAUCAGUGACCUUGUUGUACUGCGGGACAUCCCUACCGGCCUGGAACAUCUGAAAUCCCUCCAGGAGGCGUUUUUUCGUCAUAUGCAUCCUGAUUUCGAUAGGAAUCUUCGAAGGGCAAUACCAGAGCAUAUCCCGAGAGUCUACUGCACCAUAAGACCCGGAGAGGCAUGAGCCUUUCUUGCGUGGAUGGGGUUUGCACUUACCUCCAUCAAUGUGGGAGCUAUGUAUCACUGUUGAGGAAUGGCGAAUUAUGAGACAACUGUCACUCUUCGUGCUAUUACUAUUUGUACUUAUUCAAAAAAUAACUGGUUUUACAGUAUUUAUGUUUAGUGGUGCUAAGCUAUUGCUUGCGACAAUUAUUAUGUACUUUUACGGAGUGAUUCAUGUAAUAAUGUUGAAAACUUCAGCUACUUGCUCAACACAUGUGUAAGAGAAAGCAAUCCUUAUUUGCC